CCGUCAGGGGAAUGAUGUACUAUCAACGAGCUCUCCAGCUCCUAGCUUUCUCGAUUCUUCAUCCGAUACAGAUAUUUCGG